rnacentral:rRNA from 1 species
AUGGCUACGAAACCACUAGUUGGCUCUCCGCUCUCGGCCUCUCCUGCUGCUCAAAGCACCCCUGACCCUGGCCUUCCAACCGGUGUUGCUGCUCAAGGCACCCCCACCCCUGGCCCUUCCAAUGGUGGUGGUGGUACUGGUGCUGCUGCUCCAGUCCCCGACGGUGGCCCUAAAAGUGGCAGCGGUGACUGA